AACAGGCUAAUUUGCGCAAGAGUGUACAAAAUGAGUGCGCGGUUUGGCACCUCGAUGUCGGCUUAACUUAUCCUCAUGGAUGCAGAAACUAUGUAGGGUGCGACUGUUCGUCGAUUAAAAAGUUACAUGAGCUGGGUUAAAUACGUCGUGAGACAGUAU
rfam:Cordyceps confragosa RCEF 1005 scaffold_96, whole genome shotgun sequence.